rnacentral:rRNA from 1 species
UACGUAGGGGGCAAACGUUGUCCGGAAUGACUGGGCGUAAAGGGCGAGUAGGUGGUAUGCCAAGUCAGAAGUGAAAACUCCGGGCUCAACCUGGAGAUUGCUACUGAAGCUGGCAGACUUGAGUGCAGGAGAGGGAAACGGAAUUCCUAGUGUAGCGGUGAGAUGCGUAGAUAUUAGGAGGAACACCAGUGGCGAAGGCGGCUUCCUGGCCUGUAACUGACACUGAGGCGCGAAAGCGUGGGGAGCGAACAGGAUUAGAUACCCUGGUAGUCCACGCCGUAAACGAUGAGUGCUAGGUGUUGGGGGUAUCGACCCCCUCAGUGCCGCAGUAAACGCAAUAAGCACUCCGCCUGGGGAGUACGGUCGCAAGACUGAA